GAUGAACGCUGGCGGCGUGCUUAACACAUGCAAGUCGAACGAAGCAUUUAAGACAGAUUUUUUCGGAAUGAAGUUUUUUAUGACUGAGUGGCGGACGGGUGAGUAACGCGUGGGUAACCUGCCUCACACAGGGGGAUAGCAGUUGGAAACGACUGGUAAUACCGCAUAAGCGCACAGCUUCGCAUGAAGCGGUGUGAAAAACUCCGGUGGUGUGAGAUGGACCCGCGUCUGAUUAGGUAGUUGGUGAGGUAACGGCCCACCAAGCCGACGAUCAGUAGCCGACCUGAGAGGGUGACCGGCCACAUUGGGACUGAGACACGGCCCAGACUCCUACGGGAGGCAGCAGUGGGGAAUAUUGCACAAUGGAGGAAACUCUGAUGCAGCGACGCCGCGUGAGUGAAGAAGUAUUUCGGUAUGUAAAGCUCUAUCAGCAGGGAAGACAGUGACGGUACCUGACUAAGAAGCUCCGGCUAAAUACGUGCCAGCAGCCGCGGUAAUACGUAUGGAGCAAGCGUUAUCCGGAUUUACUGGGUGUAAAGGGAGUGUAGGUGGUAUCACAAGUCAGAAGUGAAAGCCCGGGGCUCAACCCCGGGACUGCUUUUGAAACUGUGGAACUGGAGUGCAGGAGAGGUAAGUGGAAUUCCUAGUGUAGCGGUGAAAUGCGUAGAUAUUAGGAGGAACACCAGUGGCGAAGGCGGCUUACUGGACUGUAACUGACACUGAGGCUCGAAAGCGUGGGGAGCAAACAGGAUUAGAUACCCUGGUAGUCCACGCCGUAAAC
rnacentral:rRNA from 1 species